rnacentral:lncRNA from 1 species
AUGGCACACCAACACGACGCGGGGUCCAGUGCUGAGUGUAAAUCCUGUGGUUGCCAGCAUUCUAGCUUUAGUCUGUGCAGAGAUGUACCUGAGCAGUUAAUGUGGAGAAAGAUUAGUGCUGGGGCUACGUUGCUUGAAAUGGGCUCCGUGUGUGUGCUGUGCACUUCAGUACAAAACUUACGCUCUGGAUUGCCCGAAGAGGUUGUGGGUUAACUUUGCUGGGAAUACAGCAGCAUGCGACGUGCUUGGCCGUGGAAACAGAGGCAGUGUGAUCAAAUGUUCUUCCUUAGCCCUACAUUGGUAAUCAUGCAAGUGUUAUGGUUUUGAAGUCCUCUGUUAAAUAAGGAGACUAUGAUGAGCUCAUAACACAAAGGUGGCUCUGCACUUUUUUGAAGAGUUCUGCAGGUCAAGCAUUGAAGGAAGAAACAG